rnacentral:snRNA from 1 species
GUGCUCGCUUUGGCAGCACAUACAAUAAAACCUAAAGAUACAGAGAAGAUUAGCACGGCCCCUGCGCAAGGAUGACAUGGAAAUGCGUGAAGCAUUCCAUAUGAAA